rnacentral:rRNA from 1 species
GACGAACGCUGGCGGCGUGCUUAACACAUGCAAGUCGAACGGAAAGGCCCCCACCUUGGUGGGGGUGCUCGAGUGGCGAACGGGUGAGUAACACGUGGGUGAUCUGCCCUGUACUUCGGGAUAAGCUUGGGAAACUGGGUCUAAUACCGGAUAGGACCAUGGUUUAGUGUCUCAUGGUGGAAAAAUUAUUGUUUUGGUGCAGGAUGAGCUCGCGGCCUAUCAGCUUGUUGGUGGGGUAAUGGCCUACCAAGGCGUCGACGGGUAGCCGGCCUGAGAGGGUGGACGGCCACAUUGGGACUGAGAUACGGCACAGACUCCUACGGGAGGCAGCAGUGGGGAAUAUUGCACAAUGGGCGCAAGCCUGAGGCAGCGACGCCGCGUGGGGGAUGACGGCCUUCGGGUUGUAAACUCCUUUCGUUAGGGACGAAGCCACACCUUUUUUGGGUGUGGUGACGGUACCUUUGUUAAGAAGCACCGGCUAACUACGUG